CCCUUAGAUGUUCUGGGCUGCACGCGCGCUACACUGACACACUCAGCGAGUUCCUGUACCGAGAGGUUCGGGUAAUCAUGUGAGCGUGUGUCGUGAUGGGGAUAGAAUAUUGUAAUUAUUGCUCUUCAACGAGGAAUUCCUAGUAAGCGCAAGUCAGCAGCUUGCGCUGAUUACGUCCCUGCCCUUUGUACACACCGCCCGUCGCACCUACCGAUUGAAUGGUCCGGUGAAAUCUCGGGACGGCGGCUUGGUCGCUUGCGUCCGACUGCUGAAACUUGAUUAAACCAUAUCAUUUAGAGGAAGGUGAAGUCGUAACA
rnacentral:rRNA from 1 species